GACGAACGCUGGCGGCGUGCUUAACACAUGCAAGUCGAACGGAAAGGCCCCGCCCUUGUGGGGUGGUGGGGUGGCGAAGGGAAGGGUAAAAUAAGAGUAGAGUAACCUGCCCCCUGGGUCAGGUUCACGGAAUGAAGGUGAAUAUAGUACAGGAGAUCCUGCUGCUUGGUGGGGGUGGGAAUGUGUCGGAGGUUGGGGCGGUUGGGGAUGGUCUCGCGGCCGAUCAGCUUGUAGGGGGGGUGGUGGCCUACCAAGGCUUUGCCGGGUGGCCGGCCUGAGAGGGUGACCGGCCACAUUGGGACUGAGAUGCGGCCCAGACUCCUACGGGAGGCAGCAGUGGGGAAUAGUGCACAAUGGGCGGGAGCCUGAUGCAGCAACGCCGCGUGCGGGAUGACGGCCUUCCGGUUGUAAACCGCGUUCGCCUGUGACGAAGCGUGAGUGACGGUAAUGGGUAAAGAAGCGCCGGCUAACUACGUG
rnacentral:rRNA from 1 species